rnacentral:rRNA from 1 species
UACGUAGGGGGCAAGCGUUGUCCGGAAUCAUUGGGCGUAAAGCGCGCGUAGGCGGCCCGGUAAGUCCGCUCUGAAAGUCCAGGGCUCAACCCUGGAAAGCGGGUGGAUACUGCCGGGCUAGAAUCCGGAAGAGGCGAGUGGAACUCCUGGUGUAGCGGUGGAAUGCGCAGAUAUCAGGAGGAACACCAAUAGCGAAGGCAGCUCGCUGGGACGGUAUUGACGCUAAGGCGCGAAAGCGUGGGGAGCAAACAGG